GCCAGGAGUUUCCAAAGUUCCCAAGGUGAUAGUGAUGCACGACUCCAGUUAAGAAGCCCUGUAGAGAUGUUGAGAAGCAGGGCUCACUACCCUGUGUUUGCAAAUAAAGUUUCUUUGGAAUAUAGCCACCCUUAAUGUAUAUGUUGCCUGUGGCUACUUUCCAGCUACGAUGGCAGAGUUGAGUAGGCGCAAUGGAGGCCUUAAAACCUGCAAUGCCAAACAUCUUUACUACUUGGUCCUUGAGGAGAUACUUUGAAGAGAAACUUCAGGAAGACGUUCAUUGUCAUGUGAAAAGCCACUUUCAAGGGAUACUUGCUCAAGGAAAUGGCCAAAUUCCCUUAAGGGUUUCUAACAGAGACAAAAGGUUCAGAGUCCAUAAAUAUUAAGAUACCACGAAGUGUGACUCUGUACUGAUUGGUCUCAAUGGAAGCCAGAAAUAUUUUGAUUACAGGAUGGAUGCGUCUUUUUUUUUAAGGGGAUCUUUCUGAGCCAAGCAUCAAACCCACGUCUUCUGCAUUGGGAGGCCCAUUCUUUACCACUGAGCCACCAAGGAAGCCACAGAAAGGGAGACACCCUCACAAAUGAAGAUUUCCUUUAUAAAUGUAAAUUUCCUUUGCUGCUGCUAAGUCGCUUCAGUUGUGUCCGACUCUGUGCGACCCCAUUGACAGCAGCCCACUAGGUUCCUCUGUCCCUGGGAUUCUCCAGGCAAGAAUACUGGAGGGGGUUGCCAUUUCCUUCUCCAAUGCAUGAAAGUGAAGUCGCUCAGUCGUGCCUGACUCUUAGCAACCCCAUGGACUGCAGCCUCCCAGGCUCUUCCGUCCAUGGGGUUUUCCAGUCAUCCACAACAUCUGGAAACUCAAGAUACUUGUUGGAUGCUUACCCUAGAACAGCUUGUUGCAGCCUACCCUUAAGGGCCAACCAGAACCACAUAAUAAGCAGCAUGACUGAGCGACUUGACUUUCACUUUUCACUUUCAUGCAUUGGAGGAGGA
ensembl:lncRNA